UACGAAUGUGGCUAGCGUUGUUCGGAAUCACUGGGCAUAAAGCGCACGUAGGCGGCGCAGUAAGUUAAUUUGUGAAAUCCCCCGGCUUAACCGGGGAAUUGCGGUUAAUACUGCUGUGCUCGAGUACGGAAGGGGAGAGUGGAACUCUUGGUGUAGCGGUGGAAUGCGAAGAUAUCAAGGGGAAGGCCGGUAGCGAAAGCGACUCUCUGGUCCGAUACUGACGCUGAGGUGCGAAAGCGUAGGUAGCGAACGGG
rnacentral:rRNA from 1 species